rnacentral:rRNA from 1 species
CCCCUAGAUGUUCUGGGCCGCACGCGCGCUACACUGAACAGUUCAACAAGUCUUAACCUUGGCCGAUAGGUCUGGGUAAUCUUUGAACGCUGUUCGUGAUUGGGAUAGACCUUUGCAAUUAUGGGUCUUCAACGAGGAAUUCCUAGUAAACGCAAGUCAUCAGCUUGCAUUGAUUACGUCCCCGCCCUUUGUACACACCGCCCGUCGCACCUACCGAUUGAAUGGUCCGGUGAAAUCUCGGGACGGCGGCUUGGUCGCUUGCGUCCGACUGCUGAAACUUGAUUAAACCAUAUCAUUUAGAGGAAGGUGAAGUCGUANCA